rnacentral:lncRNA from 10 species
CCGCGGACUCGGUGGCCCCGCCCCUGCAGAGGCUGAUUGGCCUAGCGCGAGGGCUUGUGGUUGGCAAAGGAAUUUCUAUGGCUUAGCUCAUCCCUGACUCACAGCAGACGUCCUGGGAGUGUCUGUGGAAACUCUGAGGGGCCAAGUAAACAGUCCUGGUGGCCUGACUUGAUUUAAAGAGAGGGUUUGGAGGACCUGGAAGAAGGAGACCCUCGCAAUCUCUAUCAAGCUAAAGUGGUCUGGAACUUUCAACAGGAACUGAACAGCUGGUGGUUCCAGACCAAAAUUUCUAGCAAAGGCCAGGACCACUAUGGCAUGUUGUUGAUUGAAGUGAAAACUAUGUCCUUCAAAACCUCAGGUGUGUGAGUGACAAAAAGAUUGGCAUGUACCUUCAUCUGGACAAAGGCCAUUCUGCAGACAGCCCAGUAAGGAGGGCUACAGGGCUGCCUGUGGUGGGAUCAAGAUUUUCAGCUGAUGGAAGCUUUGGUUGGAUGCAACCAUUCUGCCUCAUUAUAGCUGUAACAAAUGUGGCUCUUUGAUCCUUACAACAAGAGAUUCUUACAAAAUGAUCAUGGUCUUUUUGUGGAUAGGGAAGCUGAAGCCAAAGGAGGACACGAACGGCUCCAGCUCUCAGAAUGUUUGUAUUAAUCAUUAAUGCCAACAAUCUGGUUUGCUUGUUAAUAGACUCAUGGUAGAAGUGCAUUUUCUUGUCCCCUUGAAGUCGGGAGUGGCAUUGGAUGUGCUUGGGUCAGUGAAAUGUGUAAAGUAACAUGCAUUGCUUCAAGCAGAAGCAUUUCAUUUCCAGUUUAGACUCUUUCCCAUACUCUUUCGUCUUGGUAGUGAUUACUGAUCAUGACGAUGAAAGCAUAUAUCAAAACGAACCUUGUGUCAGCAUUAGUCCCUGAGUUAGCAUAAUAAGCUUAACCCCCCUGCUAACCCAUACAGAACAGGUACCCUCUGUUGAAUUAAACUGUGAGAUUCAAGGGGUAUUUGUUCCUGUGACAUAACAUAGACUGUUCCGGCUAAUGGAAAGAUGAAAUUCAAGUCCACAACACCAACAUUACCAUCCAGGAGCUCUGUCAUCUUAGGCAAAUGACCUAAUCUCUCUGGACCU